UGAGGAAUAUUGGACAAUGGAGGCAACUCUGAUCCAGCCAUGCCGCGUGCAGGAAGACUGCCCUAUGGGUUGUAAACUGCUUUUAUAGAGGAAGAAACCCCCUGACGUGUCAGGGUCUGACGGUACUCUACGAAUAAGGAUCGGCUAACUCCGUGCCAGCAGCCGCGGUAAUACGGAGGAUCCAAGCGUUAUCCGGAAUCAUUGGGUUUAAAGGGUCCGUAGGCGGGCAAUUAAGUCAGAGGUGAAAGUUUGCGGCUCAACCGUAAAAUUGCCUUUGAUACUGGUUGUCUUGAAUUAUUGUGAAGUGGUUAGAAUGUGUAGUGUAGCGGUGAAAUGCAUAGAUAUUACACAGAAUACCGAUUGCGAAGGCAGAUCACUAACAAUUGAUUGACGCUAAGGGACGAAAGCGUGGGUAGCGAACAGGAUUAGAUACCCCCGUAGUCC
rnacentral:rRNA from 1 species